rnacentral:rRNA from 1 species
AGCGAACGCUGGCGGCAGGCCUAACACAUGCAAGUCGAGCGAUCUUCGGGAUAGUGGCGGACGGGUGAGUAACACGUGGGAACGUGCCUUUUGGUUCGGAACAACUCAGGGAAACUUGAGCUAAUACCGAAUGUGCCCUUCGGGGGAAAGAUUUAUCGCCAUUAGAGCGGCCCGCGUCUGAUUAGCUAGUUGGUGAGGUAAUGGCUCACCAAGGCGACGAUCAGUAGCUGGUCUGAGAGGAUGAUCAGCCACACUGGGACUGAGACACGGCCCAGACUCCUACGGGAGGCAGCAGUGGGGAAUCUUGCGCAAUGGGCGAAAGCCUGACGCAGCCAUGCCGCGUGAAUGAUGAAGGUCUUAGGAUUGUAAAAUUCUUUCACCGGGGACGAUAAUGACGGUACCCGGAGAAGAAGCUCCGGCUAACUUCGUG